AGCUGAUGAGUAAGGCAUGAGCUUGGGCAUAUUGGUCGGCUUUCAGAGUUCGCUUAGUUGCGAGUCCUUUCCCUACCGGGUUUGGAUGUGCGUUGCGCUCAUUAGGCGCUGUGCGCUCUGUCUGUUCCGGGCCUGCUCGUCAGUGCACUUCCUCAGGGUGUUCACCACGACCGGCGCUGCUGUCUGUCUGUUGCGGUCAAACCGGUUAGGCUUAGUCAUUUUGGCUAGGUCUGGUCGGGAUGGCAGGUGGCUCUUGAGUUCUUCUGGCUUCGGCUGGUUUGAGCUUUUGAGUGUAAUUAGCCGACUGUGACGGAUCUGUGCAGUGCGUCGGGGCUGGCGGCUUUGGUGUGUGUACGCGUGCUGUAGCUUACUGGCUUAGUCAGGUCUGGUUGGUGUGUUACCUGCUUUGGUGGGUCUGCCAAUGUCUUGGCUUUGCGUGGUGGGUGGUGGCGCGUGCGAUACUAGCUAGGGCCAAAAGUCUGUGGUGUUGUGGUAAACGAUCCACCCGACCCGUCUUGAAACACGGACCAAGGAGUUUAACAUGUACGCGAGUCAUUGGGCGUUACGAAACCCAAAGGCGCAGUGAAAGUAAAGGUUCGGCUUGUCCGAGCUGAGGUGAGAUCCUGCUGUUCCUCUGCCUUGGACUACCAAGCAAUCGAG
rnacentral:rRNA from 1 species